UACGGAGGGUGCAAACGUUGCUCGGAAUCAUUGGGCGUAAAGCGCACGUAGGCGGUUCGUUAAGUUGGAUGUGAAAGCCCUCGGCUUAACCGAGGAAGUGCAUCCAAAACUGGCGAGCUUGAGUAUGGAAGAGGGUCUCGGAAUUCCCGGUGUAGAGGUGAAAUUCGUAGAGAUCGGGAGGAACACCAGUGGCGAAGGCGGAGACCUGGGCCAAUACUGACGCUGAGGUGCGAAAGCGUGGGGAGCAAACAGG
rnacentral:rRNA from 1 species